UCCUAAUCAUCCUCGAACCUUCCCAAAUAAACACACCUAGCUACACCUCAACUAUUCGAAUUCACCUCUUUUCAGAUUUUAAGGAUUCAGAAACAGUUCAGUUUUUUUUGUUUCAGUACUAGGUCAUCAAAAAGUUUUGUUUUCUUGUCUGAACGAGGAAAAGAGAAGCAUUUUAGGUUGAAGUAAAACUUGAAUCAAUGGGUUACGUGAUUCUGAUAUCACCUCCAUUGAUCCUCUUCUUCCUCAUCACGGCCCUUGCUUGUUACCUUUUUGGUAGGUCACGAGGCCGCCGCGAAGCCGCCACACUUCCUCAGUUUUAUGGACCACCACCACCCGCACCUCCUCCCGGAACCCUUUCUCCGCCACCCGAAAAAUAGCAUACCCGAAAAAUAGCAUACUUAUUUUCUUACUAUUUUGCUUCUCAUUGUAUAGGUCAUGUUGUUAACAUUUGAGCAAGUUGGUUGUUUGUUUAAUUGUAUGAGACCAAAUAAUUGUACGAGACUUGAAGACAUCAGACGUUACUAUUAACGAUA